rnacentral:rRNA from 1 species
UACGGAGGGAGCUAGCGUUGUUCGGAAUUACUGGGCGUAAAGCGCGCGUAGGCGGCUUUGUAAGUUAGAGGUGAAAGCCCGGGGCUCAACUCCGGAACUGCCUUUAAGACUGCAUCGCUAGAAUCCGGGAGAGGUGAGUGGAAUUCCGAGUGUAGAGGUGAAAUUCGUAGAUAUUCGGAGGAACACCAGAAGCGAAGGCGGCCAACUGGCCCGAUACUGACGCUGAGGCGCGAAAGCGUGGGGAGCAAACAGG